rnacentral:rRNA from 1 species
CAGUCGCCACGGGAAUACGUAGGGUGCGAGCGUUAAUCGGAAUUACUGGGCGUAAAGCGUGCGCAGGCGGUUCGUUAAGACAGAUGUGAAAUCCCCGGGCUUAACCUGGGAACUGCAUUUGUGACUGGCGAGCUAGAGUAUGGUAGAGGGGGGUAGAAUUCCACGUGUAGCAGUGAAAUGCGUAGAGAUGUGGAGGAAUACCGAUGGCGAAGGCAGCCCCCUGGGCCAAUACUGACGCUCAUGCACGAAAGCGUGGGGAGCAAACAGGAUUAGAUACCCCCGUAGUCCCUGUCUCUUAUAC